UACGAAGGGGACUAGCGUUGUUCGGAAUUACUGGGCGUAAAGCGCACGUAGGCGGAUUUGUAAGUCAGGGGUGAAAUCCCGGGGCUCAACCUCGGAACUGCCUUUGAUACUGCAAAUCUCGAGUCCGAUAGAGGUGGGUGGAAUUCCUAGUGUAGAGGUGAAAUUCGUAGAUAUUAGGAAGAACACCGGUGGCGAAGGCGGCCCACUGGAUCGGUACUGAUGCUGAGGUGCGAAAGCGUGGGGAGCAAACAGG
rnacentral:rRNA from 1 species